ensembl:lncRNA
GUCUGAAGAGCUUAGCACACAUGCUGAAGGAUCAUUCUUCUCUCUCCUCACCAUUAUACAAGUAAUUGUAGGAUUAAAAAUCAAAAGAAUCUGUAAUAACAUCUAAGGCUCUUGCAUCUUGGUCUUUCAGACUUCAGAUAGAUUCAGCAGUGUAAAAGCGAUGCUGGAAUUCAGUCAAACUGCCUAUCUCAAGGAGUUCUGCCUGCUGGAUCCAACACAGCACUUUAGGUAUCAGUAGCAUGUCACCAUCUUUGCCACUGGAGACAUGACAAACCCAGCUCCCAGCUGGCAGCAGGCGUGCAAGGUACCCUGUCUGCUGCUGCACGAGCAUCCCAGCUAACAGUGCUGAGACAAGGAGAUCUCGCAGUCAUGGGACAGCUUCCAUCUGCAAAAGUCCUCCAGGGCAAUGUGGGAUCUCGUCAAUCAACUGAGAAAUAUAUGUUGCUUCGUUUCUCUAUUUUCACUUUUCAUUCCCUGCUUACAGGAAAGGAGGCCAUAAAAAACAAUGUUUUGGCUUAGACUGGAGAAAAAAAUUCCAGCACAAUCCCAUUUCGUCAAAGAGGAUUCAGUUCCUGUGCUCUGAAAACUCAUGCUUUUCUUGUAGAGCAGAACUGUGGAACAAUAUGGACAUCCUCCAUUGACCUUUACCUGUUCUCUAUCACAGUCCACUGUCAGAGCAGGUAACGUGGAGACAGAGCACCGAAUUGGCAGCAGUCCCACAAGCAAUGGUGAGAGGCAGAAAGCACAGGACAGAGGAUCCCAAAAGGAGGUCUACUUUUAAGAAGCUUCAUUAUGCUGCUACAUCUCAAAUAAGAGUAUUUGGGAGGGAUUGAAGUUGUACACAAUGAAUUAUUUCACAUUCUGAAACCACUCACUAAUUUAAGCCAGACACAUGAAAGCUUUAUGUAUCUUUUUAUGAGGCAUGCAUCUUGUCCAAAUUAUCUCUUUAUUACUCUCUCUAAGAAGUACAUGUAUGCAUCUCAGUGAAGAGCAUGUACAUAGCCAGCAAGAAUGGAUUAAAAAAAAAUAAUUUAGGAGGCUACUCUGUUCUUCAUGCAUAUGUCUCAAGACAAGGAAAGCAUUUAGCAUUUCCUGCAUCAUGUAUGUCCCAGGGUAAAAUAAUCAAGGUUUCACACACGCCCCUUCCUCAGCCUUUCGAAAGUGUGGUUAGUGAAUUCAGCACAAGAAAAUAUAGGAAGCCAAGGCAAUGGUUUCCUGAAGCAGAAUGAGAAAUGAGGAAGCUGCACACAGAGACACAGCCAAUGGAAAGCCCAAUAGGAAUUUUCAGCUCCUGCAUUUUCAAGUGUUCUCUUCUUGUUUAGGGGUGCUUUAUUAGUCAAUUGCUUCUCCUCAUUAACUUAUAGCUUGGCACUCAUUGCUCUGUAAACUGCCCUAACAGCCCCCAUGAGCACUGCUCUAGUGAAGGAUCUGGUUGUGUUUCCAUUAUAAACCUAGUUUCAGAGAUAUUUAUAACUCAGCUAUUUGAAUUUUCAUCAAGCUUUGGGGAACUUGGCUCACAGGUCAAAGAGUGAAACAAUUUUCAGCUUAUGAAUUUGAAAAGAAAAAAUUUUAGCCAAGAGCAGUUUCCAGCACAGAAAAUUUCAUCAUGAUUUAGAAGCUUCCAGGAUAAGAAAAUUUAUAUUAUCUCAUGCAGGAAUUAUGUAAUGUGAAUUAUAUAUGUUAAAU